GUUCGGAAAGCAAAUCCCCAGAACCAAUGAAGUUGGACGUUGACCAUGAACAUUUAAUGUCGGCCAAUGGCGACGUAUGACGUCACAAUUUGUAAAAGACUGUGUACCCAGAAGAAAUCCAUAUAUGUUGUUUCUUGUGUUCCAUUAUAAUUGUAAAUUUCGUUUUGUCUUGGCAUAAACUAUUGCUUGUUCAAUAUUCCGGUGACUAUUUUGCAUUAUUUGAUAGUCGUAUUUUACAAUUAAAAAGGUGCCAUUUACCUUAACUUUUACUUAAGCGAUAUGAAUUUGGCAUAAUAAGAGGUUUUUUUUAUAAUAAAAUCCGAAUAGUUUAAAACGAAAAUGGAAACGGAAAACUUUAUUUAAAACCUUUUCUGGGUUGUAAUCUUUCUAACCCUGUUCUGGAAAUAAAAGGAAAAACUAAUAUGAUUGAUGAUUAAUUAUUAAUUAUUUCUCUUAAUAAUUAUUUACUGAGCGUUAUUCUAGGCAAUUGUUUUCCAGUAGUUUUAAGAAUGUGUACGCCUGUAUUAAAAAUCGGAUAUUUUUAUAGCAUUGGUGCUUUCUCCUCACAUUGUAAAAUUGUUUUUUUAGGGACACCGCAUGUUAAUCUUUUUUUCUGGUUUUAUUCUAUCUCUGUAGUUAAAAACAAAACUGUUUUAUUAAUUUAUUUGCGUGGGAAUCUCUCUAUUUAUAGAAUGUAUUUUACUUGUCAUGUAUUUUGUUACAUAGUCAUACUUCAAUAGACAGGAAAAAUCCACAUUUUGUUUAUAAAGGCCCCUCCUCAAAGCUUUUAAUCGCAACUCUAUAACAUGCAUGGUUCUUACUUACAAUUACCUGGGAAAAAACAAUAAGUAAUUGAAAGGAAAAAAAAUAUAAUAUGUUUUCAUGUUUUCACAAACACUCAUGAUUUUUGAAAUUUAACAAACCAAACCCCCUCUCGUUCUGGUGUAAUGAAUAUAUUAUUUUAAAGCUAAAUAUAUCAUGGUAACAAAUUUUAUAUGGAAUUGAAUGUUUAAUCUUGUUUAUCAAAACCCCUCGCAUUUUUCACAGCUUAAACAGUACUACUUUAGGGACAUUUUACGCCUCAUAACGUCAUCUUAUUCACGCAACACAUUGCUUUUGUGAAGCAGUUAACAAUGAGGGAACGAUUGUUUGAUGAUUUACUACUCCAUAUUUAAAAAUAAACUAACCAAAAUACGUCCAGCUUUAUCAGUUAAAUUUUUUCGGUUUUUGGACUUAAGGUUUUUUUUCAUAAUAAGUCGUAACGAAUCAAAUUUCACUCCAUAAUUGUUUACUAAGGAUUUUUCCAUUAAAUUCAUUUAGUUAAACGCAUAUGCAUUAAUUUGAUAUAAACAAUUCAUUCAUUAUGUAUUAAUUUGAUAUAAACAAUUCAUUCAACAACCUACAGUUUACCAAUAAAUAAGCUGACCUUAUAGCAGAUCAGUUGAUUGUAUUAAGUAUUCGUUCGUGUAUUUCAUUCAAAUUUUAAUAAUUUUACUCAAAAUAGUGUUCAUUUUUUCCUUUUUCGUAGGAAAAUGUGUAUGAUGUAUAUCUGUAUAAAUUGAUUCAAUGUGCCUUUUCACAACAGACAUAUUUUGUACUAUUUUGUCAUGAACAUUUCCUUGUCGUCUUCUUAAUAAAUUAAGAAUGUG
rnacentral:misc_RNA from 1 species